rnacentral:rRNA from 1 species
GAGGAUGUAUACCAAUAGCUAGUGGCAUCAUUGUAAAGAUGAUGCAAUAUUGACUAUGUUGAAUAAAAUUCUAGGUAGAAUUAUGAUAAUGACAUUGUCUGCCUAUGUGUCUUGACCAAAUUACGUGCCAGCAGUCGCGGUAAUACGUAGAAGACUAGUGUUAUUCAUGUUUAAUCGGUUUAAAGGGUACCUAGACGGCAGAUCAAGCUUUCCGAGCAGAAAAAAAGUAAAAAGGACUAAUUUGCUAGAGUUACUUACGAGGGGGUUUUAAAGUACUGCUGGUGUAGAGAUGAAAUUCUUUAAUACCUAUUUUCGAAAGAAUUAUAAUGGCACAGGUAUAGGCGAAGGCAUCCCCUUAUGUGAUAACUGACGUUGAGGGACGAAGGCUUUAUACAACGAACGGGAUUAGAUACCCCAUUAGUGGAAGCAGUAAAUGAUGAAUGUCAUAGAUUAGUAGAUAGGUUCAUUCUAUAAAUGAAAGUGUAAGCAUUCCACCUCAUGAGUAAUAUGGCAACAUUGGAAUUGAAAUCAUUAGACCGUAUCUGAAACCAGUAGUGAAGUAUGUUGUUUAAUUUGAUGAUCCGCAAAAAACCUUACCACAAUUUGAAUAUUUAUAUUUUUUUUUUUUGUCCUUAAUUUUCUUCUAAAGUGGAAAGAAAUUAAUAAAGAGGCAAUAAGAUAUAUUUACAAGCGUUGCACGGCUGUCUUCAGUUAAUGUCGCGAGAUUUUGGUUAGAUCCAUAAAAUUAACGUAAACCCUUACUUUAUUUUU